rnacentral:rRNA from 1 species
AGAGCGAACGCUGGCGGCAUGCUUAACACAUGCAAGUCGCACGGGCUGGUUUUGGCCAGUCAGUGGCGGACGGGUGAGUAACGCGUAGGUAUCUGUCCUUGGGUGGGGGAUAACGCUGGGAAACUGGUGCUAAUACCGCAUGAUGACUGAGGUCCAAAGGCGCUGAUGGAA